CAACUAUGGAUUAUACAGAGAUGACUACAUUUUAUGAUUAUGCCUUUUCUUAUGAAAGCGUUCAAGAAGAAGAUUCUGUUGUAGUAAAGAAGGAAGGGGUCCAAGGUGGUGGAAAUAAGGGAUCAACAACAGUCUGCAGUUUGUAUGCCUUAGCAAUGGGACUGAUGAUGCAACAGAUCUGCCAACAAACAUGAGUGGGAUUGUACACACAAGGUUUGGACAAGGGCUGAAGAAUUUGGAUUUGAAGCCUCUGAUGGAUACAGUUUCAAUGUCUGAUCAAAAUUACAUGACGGUACACUUCAACAGG